GAGUUCGAGUAUGUGGAAUGGUGCGUGGAUCACUCCUACAUGUUCUAAAAGGUUAGAACAAGUUUUUGGAUAAGUUCGAGGAUGCUUGGAAUGUUAAAAGUGAGGAUUGCAUCAAACUGGCGAAAAUCAGCCUUUUUCUGCUUGCUGUACCGGUACAGCCAUCACCUUGUACCGGUACAAGCUGGCAGAUUCGUGGCAGCUUGGGUAUUUUGGUAAUUUCACAUUGGAUACCUACCUAUUUGAUCCCAGCACGGCUCUGGGACUUCAGUGGAGUAUGCAAGAGUUCUGGGAAAGCUUCUCUUCCCUUCUUCUCUCUCUCUCUCUAGGGUUUUUCUCUCUCUACGUCGAUUUCGCCGAUUUCGCUCGUUUUCGUCGCCGCGUGCGUUCUUCGCUAUUUGCGAGCGUCGCAGGGCCUACGUGGACGUGUGAGGGAGUAUUUUGGAGGGUCUUUCGCAGCUCUGAACCAGCAGGUCACUGGUUGGAAGCUUGAGAAGCAGGUCUUCGAGCUUCGUUGAGCUGAAUUUGUACCCUUAGAAGCUGGUUAGGAAGCUGCUCUAACCUAGGCGAGAAGGUAUUUGACCCUUGGAUCGCCUUCGUUUGGCAUUGGAGGGCCUUCCGGAAGCUUAACGUGAGGUUUGGGACUUUGUUGAGCUGAUCCUUGGGACAUCUUGUGGCUGAUUUAAGCUUAGUACGAGGUAGGUCGGACCUAACCAGAGCAAGUGAAGCUCCCCUAUGUUCUAUAUGUAUUAUAGAAGUGGUCUAGCCUAUGCUUAUAUGAUUAAUAGGGACUUGAAAUGCGUCACCUUAAUGUUAGCUUAUUUGAAAUGGAAUCUCUAUUAAGUAGAGAACAUACAUGCAUAAAGUAUUCAUGUUUAUGCUGACUAGUUGAUAUGUUUCUAGUAUGUUCCUAGACACUAGAGAACAAUGAUGUUCUUAUGACAUUCUC